CCCCUGCGCGCCGGCCGGGCCGCGACUCGGCCCGCCGCGAGAUGAUGAUAAACUGAUCUCAUCCACUGUGCAGACAACAACGCGCAUAAAUCUGCUCCGCCGCGGCGCCGACAGCGCCGAAACGCCGCCGACGUGCCGACUGGAAGAACCGACAAGUGCAUUCCUCCGUUUUUGCAGGUACGGUCUGCCGAAGGGACGAUUUUUGAGUUGCCAGGUACGGACGGUACAAACAGAAGAGGGGCCCCCACCCUGUGAGCACCACCCCCACCCUCGUCCGGAUCGACACUCCCCUACUUCGGAGCAAGCGGCGACUGAAAAUCAUGCAGAAGAAUUAAGUGCGCGAUAAGGAGCUGAAUAUUGAUGAAUUAUCUCUUAAUUAGGCGUUAUGCGGUGAGCGAGACGUUGAUGGAGACAUGGCCGCAAUUGCAUCGCUCCUGCACCACCACCAACAGCUCUUGUUGCGCGCCGCCUCAGCAGCCGCCCUCAUCAACCACUCGUCGUCGGCGGCGCCGCCAGUGACCUUUGACUCGCGAAGCAGCAGCAGCAGCGGCGCCGGCAGCGACAUGUGCAGUCCGGCGCCCUCUUCCUCCGGUUCGGCCAGCCUGGCCCCGCCGGCCUCAGUCUUGUCCGAGGAGGCUGCUUCGGACGAUGACGAGGUGCUCAGCGUUGGCAGCGAGACGCCACCCUCGUUGACGGCCAGUCCGGCCCUGAGUGUUUCUCCGGGCGCCGACUUCGCCUCGGUGCGCAACCACAUGCUGAUGGAACACGAGGCGGCCCUUCGCAGCGGCCUCAAGUUCAGCAUCGACAACAUCCUGAGGCCUGAGUUCGGCCGCCUGCUGCCCGUCGUCGGCGCCCCUGUGGCUGCGAGCGCUGGCAAGAACAACGCGAAAUGUGAUAAAGGCAAGAAGAAGAACAAAGACUUGAUGCGAAUGUUACCCCCGUCAGGCAAGAGCCCUGAGUCGUCGUCGGGCGCCGCCACCCCCUCGCAGCCGAUCAACCUUUCGGCCAAAGACAAUUCCGCCAGUUCGACGCCGACAAGUCCAUCAACCCCGGGCAGCACCCCAUCGGGACAGCCCAUGUUGUGGCCGGCGUGGGUCUACUGCACCAGAUACUCAGAUCGACCCUCCUCAGCGGUUCUCCGGCUGCCACCAUCCGGACACCAUGACCAGAGUCAUCGUGAAUGGUUCCAGACGGGACACCGGCAAUCGGACGGCGCGGACGGCGCCUCUUCUGUCCGGGGGCCGGCUUUUCCUGUCUGGCAAUUGCUCGCCCAUUACGGUUGCUUUCAAGGACGAACCAGCCGAGCGGCGAGGAGGAGAAUCGCGCGCCGGGGCUGCGGCCUUGACGCGCACGAACCUGCAAGAUUCCUACUGCUGCCUCACGGCUUGCUGACAACUCGCUCGCCAACCAGCUGUAUCGUCGCCAAACUGUCUGUGGAGGUAGGAAACGGACUAACAAUCCUGACUAUUUUUCUCGGCACCGGCCUCUAUUUGUCUCUUCUACUGCUUACCAUGGGCGAUAUUGAAAGCAAUCCUGGCCCUUUGAAUGAGGACGAUAAAGCUUUCUUUCUGUCAGCUCUCGACGGCCAGCUCAAUGAGAAAUUGAAAUUCACUAAUGAAAAUAUUGGGGCGCUGAAAACAACGAUGGAUGAUUUGGUGGCCAAGGUGGAGGCGGGGGCCGAAAAAGUGAAACAUUUGGAAUCGGAAAACGCUAAAUUGUCUGUCCGAGUCACCCAACUGGAAAAUCGUCUGGCCUCGCACGAAGCCGACCUGCGGCGGAAAAACCUGGUGGUUUUCGGCGUGCCUACUGCUACCAACUUGCAGAGCGCCGUCGGCGAUCUCCUUUUCAACAAGCUGAAGCUGCCUCACCGCCCGCAGGACGAGCUUCUUGAGGCCACUUUCAGGAUCGGCAAAGAGGACGCCGCGAAGCGCCCGGUUAUUCUAAAAUUUAAAACCGACCAAGUCAAAUUUUCAGUAAUGAAAAAUGUUGCAAAUCUGAAAGGAACUGGAAUUGUCGUGUCCGAUGACCUAACACCAGAGGAACGAAAGGUCAGGCGGAAGCUGGUCGAGGCCCAUAAGACUGCUAGAAAGCUCGGAGUCCAGUCAAAAUUGCGCCGCCGUGGUCUUGAGCUCAAUGGGCACGAGAUCUCGGCUGCCGAGGUGGCCAAGGACGGCUGGCUCCGCAAGUACGUGCCGCAGUUCGACCAGCAGCAGCAGAUGGAUGGUGAGAGUGAGGGGUCCAGCUCAGAUACCAGAGACGGUCGACCCAAGCAGAAGAGGAAUAAGAAGAGGAACCGAGCUGCAGCCUUACUCUCACCCAACGAGCAGCCCUCCGAGCCCCAAGCCGGCGGGUCCCAACAGGGUUUUGCCUCAGCCCCUCCCAACAGCAAGUCCAACAGCAAGGACAACAAGGCAAAGCAACCCCCGAGGGGCCAGUCGACGAGGAGCUUGGACAGGCUGCGAUCGGCCAACAGCAAGCGAGGGUCGGACUCAGAUGUGAACAGCCAAAACUGAAACUAGUCCCAGGUCGCGGAAACUGAAGCGCAAGGAGAAGAAACCUGAAGACAAGAGACCCCGCACUGCCUUUACCAGUGAACAACUGUCAAGACUUAAACGGGAGUUUCAGGAAAACAGGUACCUGACUGA